UCGGGAAUUUUGUGCAAUGGGGGAAACCCUGACCCAGCAACGCCGCGUGAAGGAUGAAGUAUUUCGGUAUGUAAACUUCGAAAGAAUAGGAAGAAUAAAUGACGGUACUAUUUAUAAGGUCCGGCUAACUACGUGCCAGCAGCCGCGGUAAUACGUAGGGACCAAGCGUUGUUCGGAUUUACUGGGCGUAAAGGGCGCGUAGGCGGCAUGACAAGUCACUUGUGAAAUCUCUGGGCUUAACCCAGAACGGCCAAGUGAUACUGUCGCGCUAGAGUGCAGAAGGGGCAAUCGGAAUUCUUGGUGUAGCAGUGAAAUGCGUAGAUAUGCGGAGGAACACCGAUGGCGAAGGCAAUCCCCUGGACCUGUACUGACGCUCAUGCACGAAAGCGUGGGGAGCAAACAGGAUUAGAUACCCCCGUAGUCCCUGAGCGGGCUGGCAAGGCGCAU
rnacentral:rRNA from 1 species